rnacentral:rRNA from 1 species
CCCUUAGAUGUUCUGGGCCGCACGCGCGCUACACUGUUCGACGCAGCGAGUCUUAACCUUGACCGAAAGGUUUGGGUAAUCUUCAGCAAAGUCGAACGUGAUGGGGAUCGAUCAUUGCAAUUAUUGAUCGUGAACGAGGAAUCCCUAGUAAGUGCAAGUCAUCAGCUUGCGCUGAUUACGUCCCUGCCCUUUGUACACACCGCCCGUCGCUACUACCGAUUGAAUGGUUUAGUGAGAUCUCUGGAUUGACGCUGGCUAGGGGGCGACCCUUGGCCAGGCUGUCGAGAAACUGCUCAAACUUGAUCAUUUAGAGGAAGUAAAAGUCGUAACA